rnacentral:rRNA from 2 species
AUUGCCUCAGUAACGGCGAGUGAAGCGGCAACAGCUCAAAUUUGAAAUCUGGCCCCAGGCCCGAGUUGUAAUUUGCAGAGGAUGCUUUUGGUGAGGUGCCUUCCGAGUUCCCUGGAACGGGACGCCAUAGAGGGUGAGAGCCCCGUCUGGUCGGACACCGAGCCUCUGUAAAGCUCCUUCGACGAGUCGAGUAGUUUGGGAAUGCUGCUCUAAAUGGGAGGUAUAUGUCUUCUAAAGCUAAAUACCGGCCAGAGACCGAUAGCGCACAAGUAGAGUGAUCGAAAGAUGAAAAGCACUUUGAAAAGAGAGUUAAAUAGCACGUGAAAUUGUUGAAAGGGAAGCGUUUAUGACCAGACUUGGCCCGGUUGAUCAUCCAGCGUUCUCGCUGGUGCACUCUGCCGGUCCAGGCCAGCAUCAGUUCGUCGCGGGGGACAAAGGCUUCGGGAAUGUGGCUCCUCCGGGAGUGUUAUAGCCCGUUGCGUAAUACCCUGCGGUGGACUGAGGUCCGCGCUUCUGCAAGGAUGCUGGCGUAAUGGUCAUCAACGACCCGUCUUGAAACACGGACCAAGGAGUCGUCUUCGUAUGCGAGUGUUCGGGUGUAAAACCCCUACGCGUAAUGAAAGUGAACGCAGGUGAGAGCUUCGGCGCAUCAUCGACCGAUCCUGAUGUUCUCGGAUGGAUUUGAGUAAGAGCAUACGGGGCCGGACCCGAAAGAAGGUGAACUAUGCCUGUAUAGGGUGAAGCCAGAGGAAACUCUGGUGGAGGCUCGCAGCGGUUCUGACGUGCAAAUCGAUCGUCAAAUAUGGGCAUGGGGGCGAAAGACUAAU